rnacentral:rRNA from 1 species
AUGAACCUUUUUCGCGCAAGCACAACCAUAACUUUGGGAGAUGGCCGCAAGGAACUUUUCUGGCAUGACAACUGGAGUGGAAGGGGCCCUCUAACGCUACUUGCGCCGGAGCUUUACAAAAUAGCUUCAAGAAAAAAUAGGACCGUGCAUUAGGAGUUGACAAAUGAAAACUGGAUCAAAGCAGUCGCUAGCCUUCGAUCCCUGCAACAACUGGGGGAAUUUGUCACUCUUUGGGACACAAUCUCCUGGAACCUGACCACAAAUGGAGCCUACUCUUCCGCAUCGGCCUAUGCGGCGCAGUUCUUUGGCUCACACCCAAGAUUUGACUCUUCAAAGGUCUGGUCUGCGCACGCUGAGCCCAAGUGCAAAUUCUUUGCGUGGCUAGUCCUGCAUGGUAGAAUCCUCACCGCAGAUAUGUUGGCUAUUCGUGGCUGGCCACAUGACCCAAGGUGUCAGCUAUGUCUUCAGCAGCCAGAAACGACAACCCAUCUUUACAAGGACUGUCCCUUCGCGGUCGCGGUUUGA